rnacentral:rRNA from 1 species
AGGGAUCAUUACAGAGUUGCAAAACUCCCUAAACCAUUGUGAACGUUACCUAAACCGUUGCUUCGGCGGGCGGCCCCGGGGUUCUCCCCGGGCGCCCCUGGGCCCCAUCGCGGGCGCCCGCCGGAGGUCACCAAACUCUUGAUAAUUUAUGGCCUCUCUGAGUCUUCUGUACUGAAUAAGUCAAAACUUUCAACAACGGAUCUCUUGGUUCUGGCAUCGAUGAAGAACGCAGCGAAAUGCGAUAAGUAAUGUGAAUUGCAGAAUUCAGUGAAUCAUCGAAUCUUUGAACGCACAUUGCGCCCGCCAGUAUUCUGGCGGGCAUGCCUGUUCGAGCGUCAUUUCAACCAUCAAGCCCCCGGCUUGUGUUGGGGACCUGCGGCUGCCGCAGGCCCUGAAAAGCAGUGGCGGGCUCGCUGUCACACCGAGCGUAGUAGCAUACAUCUCGCUCUGGGCGUGCUGCGGGUUCCGGCCGUAAAACCACCUUCAUAACCCAAGGUUGACCUCGGAUCAGGUAGGAAGACCCGCUGAACUUAA